UUAAGUUAGAAAGGGCGCACGGUGGAUGCCUUGGNCACUAGGAGCCGAUGAAGGACGGGACUAACACCGAUAUGCUUCGGGGAGCUGUAAGUAAGCUUUGAUCCGGAGAUUUCCGAAUGGGGAAACCCACUGUUCGUAAUGGAACAGUAUCUUUACCUGAAUACAUAGGGUACUGAAGGCAGACCCGGGGAACUGAAACAUCUAAGUACCCGGAGGAAGAGAAAGCAAAUGCGAUUUCCUGAGUAGCGGCGAGCGAAACGGAAUUAGCCCAAACCAAGAGGCUUGCCUCUUGGGGUUGUAGGACACUCAACAUGGAGUUACAAAGGAACGGGGUAAAUGAAGUGAUCUGGAAAGGUCCGUCAAAGAAGGUAAAAACCCUGUAGUUGAAACUUCGUUCCCUCCUGAGUGGAUCCUGAGUACGGCGGGACACGAGAAAUCCCGUCGGAAGCAGGGAGGACCAUCUCCCAAGGCUAAAUACUCCCUAGUGACCGAUAGUGAACCAGUACCGUGAGGGAAAGGUGAAAAGCACCCCGGAAGGGGAGUGAAAUAGAUCCUGAAACCGUGUGCCUACAAGUAGUCAAAGCCCGUUAAUGGGUAAUGGCGUGCCUUUUGUAGAAUGAACCGGCGAGUUACGAUUUCAUGCGAGGUUAAGUUGAUAAGACGGAGCCGCAGCGAAAGCGAGUCUGAAUAGGGCGAAUGAGUAUGAGGUCGUAGACCCGAAACCAGGUGAUCUACCCAUGUCCAGGGUGAAGUUCAGGUAACACUGAAUGGAGGCCCGAACCCACGCACGUUGAAAAGUGCGGGGAUGAGGUGUGGGUAGCGGAGAAAUUCCAAUCGAACCUGGAGAUAGCUGGUUCUCUCCGAAAUAGCUUUAGGGCUAGCCUCAAGAUGAGAGUAUUGGAGGUAGAGCACUGAUUGGACUAGGGGCCCCCAACGGGUUACCGAAUUCAGUCAAACUCCGAAUGCCAAAUACUUAUUCUUGGGAGUCAGACUGCGAGUGAUAAGAUCCGUAGUCGAAAGGGAAACAGCCCAGACCACCAGCUAAGGUCCCAAAGUAUACGUUAAGUGGAAAAGGAUGUGGAGUUGCUUAGACAACCAGGAUGUUGGCUUAGAAGCAGCCACCAUUUAAAGAGUGCGUAAUAGCUCACUGGUCGAGUGACUCCGCGCCGAAAAUGUACCGGGGCUAAACGUAUCACCGAAGCUGUGGAUUGACACCNAUUUAGGUGUCGAUGGUAGGAGAGCGUUCUAAGGGCGUUGAAGUCAGACCGGAAGGACUGGUGGAGCGCUUAGANGUAUGGUGUCGAUGGUAGGAGAGCGUUCUAAGGGCGUUGAAGUCAGACCGGAAGGACUGGUGGAGCGCUUAGANNNNNNAGUGAGAAUGCCGGUAUGAGUAGCGAAAGAAGGGUGAGAAUCCCUUCCACCGAAUGCCUAAGGUUUCCUGAGGAAGGCUCGUCCGCUCAGGGUUAGUCGGGACCUAAGCCGAGGCCGAAAGGCGUAGGCGAUGGACAACAGGUUGAUAUUCCUGUACCACCUAUACAUCGUUUGAACGAUGGGGGGACGCAGAAGGAUAGGGUAAGCGCGCUGUUGGAUAUGCGCGUCCAAGCAGUUAGGCCGGAAACGAGGCAAAUCCCGUUUCCAUUAAGGCGGAGCUGUGAUGGCGAGGGAAAUAUAGUACCGAAGUUCCUGAUUCCACGCUGCCAAGAAAAGCCUCUAGUGAGAUGUAAGGUGCCCGUACCGCAAACCGACACAGGUAGGCGAGGAGAGAAUCCUAAGGUGUGCGAGAGAACUCUCGUUAAGGAACUCGGCAAAAUGACCCCGUAACUUCGGGAGAAGGGGUGCUUUUUAGGGUGAAUAGCCCGGAAAAGCCGCAGUGAAUAGGCCCAGGCGACUGUUUAGCAAAAACACAGGUCUCUGCGAAGCCGCAAGGCGAAGUAUAGGGGCUGACACCUGCCCGGUGCUGGAAGGUUAAGGGGAGAGGUUAGCGCAAGCGAAGCUUUGAACCGAAGCCCCAGUAAACGGCGGCCGUAACUAUAACGGUCCUAAGGUAGCGAAAUUCCUUGUCGGGUAAGUUCCGACCCGCACGAAAGGUGUAACGAUCUGGGCACUGUCUCAACGAGAGACUCGGUGAAAUUAUAGUACCUGUGAAGAUGCAGGUUACCCGCGACAGGACGGAAAGACCCCGUGGAGCUUUACUGCAGCCUGAUAUUGAAUUUUGGUACAGCUUGUACAGGAUAGGUAGGAGCCUGAGAAGCCGGAGCGCUAGCUUCGGUGGAGGCGUUGGUGGGAUACUACCCUGGCUGUAUUGAAAUUCUAACCCGCGCCCCUUAUCGGGGUGGGAGACAGUGUCAGGUGGGCAGUUUGACUGGGGCGGUCGCCUCCUAAAGAGUAACGGAGGCGCCCAAAGGUUCCCUCAGAAUGGUUGGAAAUCAUUCGUAGAGUGUAAAGGCACAAGGGAGCUUGACUGCGAGACCUACAAGUCGAGCAGGGACGAAAGUCGGGCUUAGUGAUCCGGUGGUUCCGCAUGGAAGGGCCAUCGCUCAACGGAUAAAAGCUACCCCGGGGAUAACAGGCUUAUCUCCCCCAAGAGUCCACAUCGACGGGGAGGUUUGGCACCUCGAUGUCGGCUCAUCGCAUCCUGGGGCUGUAGUCGGUCCCAAGGGUUGGGCUGUUCGCCCAUUAAAGCGGUACGCGAGCUGGGUUCAGAACGUCGUGAGACAGUUCGGUCCCUAUCCGUCGCGGGCGCAGGAAAUUUGAGAGGAGCUGUCCUUAGUACGAGAGGACCGGGAUGGACGCACCGCUGGUGUACCAGUUGUCUUGCCAAAGGCAUAGCUGGGUAGCUACGUGCGGACGGGAUAAGUGCUGAAAGCAUCUAAGCAUGAAGCCCCCCUCAAGAUGAGAUUUCCCAUGGCGCAAGCUAGUAAGAUCCCUGAAAGAUGAUCAGGUUGAUAGGUCAGAGGUGGAAGCGUGGCGACAUGUGGAGCUGACUGAUACUAAUAGAUCGAGGACUUAACCAA
rnacentral:rRNA from 1 species